rnacentral:rRNA from 1 species
UUCGUAGGCGGUGUGGCAAGUCGGGAGUGAAAUCUCUGGGCUCAACCCAGAGACUGCUUCCGAAACUGCUGUGCUUGAGUGUGAGAGAGGCUCGUGGAAUUGCAGGUGUAGCGGUGAAAUGCGUAGAUAUCUGCAGGAACACCCGUGGCGAAAGCGGCGAGCUGGAUCACUACUGACGCUGAGGAACGAAAGCUAGGGGGAGCAAACA